rnacentral:lncRNA from 1 species
UUUUUUACAAAAAAAUAAAUAAAUAAAAAAAAUAAUAAAAAAAUAAAUAAAAUAUAAUAAAAUUUUUUGGACUUGGGUCUCUCUCAUUUGAGCCCACAAAACCAUGAAAUUCAGUCUAUAAAUACCAAGGCUUCACUUGAGAAAAAGGAAGAGAAGCAAAAUACUCUGAGGUUUCCUUGGAACAAAACCCUGGACAAAACCUGAAGAGAAACCUGACAGAGAACUCAGAGCAGCCU